UACGAAGGGGGCUAGCGUUGCUCGGAAUCACUGGGCGUAAAGCGCACGUAGGCGGAUUGUUAAGUCAGGGGUGAAAUCCUGGAGCUCAACUCCAGAACUGCCUUUGAUACUGCUCUGCUUGAGGACUGGAGAGGAGACUGGAAUUCACGGUGUAGCAGUGAAAUGCGUAGAUACCGUGAGGAAGACCAGUGGCGAAGGCGGGUCUCUGGACAGUUCCUGACGCUGAGGCGCGAAGGCCAGGGGAGCAAACGGG
rnacentral:rRNA from 1 species